AAGCGAGCGUAGGUGGCUUGAUAAGUCAGAUGUGAAAUCCCCGGGCUUAACCUGGGAACUGCAUCUGAUACUGUUAGGCUAGAAUAGGUGAGAGGAAGGUAGAAUUCCAGGUGUAGCGGUGAAAUGCGUAGAGAUCUGGAGGAAUACCGAUGGCGAAGGCAGCCUUCUGGCAUCAUAUUGACACUGAGGUUCGAAAGCGUGGGUAGCAAACAGGAUUAGAUACCCUGGUAGUCCACGCCGUAAACGAUGUCUACUAGUCGUUGGGUCCCUUGAGGACUUAGUGACGCAGCUAACGCAAUAAGUAGACCGCCUGGGGAGUACGGCCGCAAGGUUAAAACUCAAAUGAAUUGACGGGGGCCCGCACAAGCGGUGGAGCAUGUGGUUUAAUUCGAUGCAACGCGAAGAACCUUACCUGGUCUUGACAUAUCUAGAAUCCUGCAGAGAUGCGGGAGUGCCUUCGGGAAUUAGAAUACAGGUGCUGCAUGGCUGUCGUCAGCUCGUGUCGUGAGAUGUUGGGUUAAGUCCCGCAACGAGCGCAACCCUUGUCCUUAGUUACCAGCGGGUUAAGCCGGGAACUCUAAGGAUACUGCCAGUGACAAACUGGAGGAAGGCGGGGACGACGUCAAGUCAUCAUGGCCCUUACGACCAGGGCUACACACGUGCUACAAUGGUAGGUGCAGAGGGCAGCUACACAGCGAUGUGAUGCGAAUCUCAAAAAGCCUAUCGUAGUCCAGAUUGGAGUCUGCAACUCGACUCCAUGAAGUAGGAUC
rnacentral:rRNA from 1 species